rnacentral:rRNA from 1 species
AGCGAACGCUGGCGGCAGGCUUAACACAUGCAAGUCGAGCGGGCACUUCGGUGUCAGCGGCAGACGGGGGAGUAACACGUGGGAACGUACCCUUCGGUUCGGAAUAACGCUGGGAAACUAGCGCUAAUACCGGAUACGCCCUUUUGGGGUAGGGUUUACUGCCGUAGGAUCGGCCCGCGUCUGAUUAGCUAGUUGGUGGGGUAAUGGCCUACCAAGGCGACGAUCAGUUGCUGGUCUGAGAGGAUGAUCAGCCACACUGGGACUGAGACACGGCCCAGUCUCCUACGGGAGGGAGCAGUGGGGAAUAUUGGACAAUGGGCGCAAGCCUGAUCCAGCCAUGCCGGGUGAGUGAUGAAGGCCUUAGGGUUGUAAAGCUCUUUUGUCCGGGACGAUAAUGACGGUACCGGAAGAAUAAGCCCCGGCUAACUUCGUG